rnacentral:rRNA from 1 species
UACGUAGGUGGCAAGCGUUGUCCGGAAUUACUGGGCGUAAAGGGCGCGUAGGUGGCCUUUUGAGUCGGACGUGAAAUCCCUCGGCUUAACCGGGGAACUGCGUCCGAUACUGGUUGGCUUGAGUUUGGGAGAGGGAUGCGGAAUUCCUGGUGUAGCGGUGGAAUGCGCAGAUAUCAGGAGGAACACCGGUGGCGAAGGCGGUUAGCUGGGCAGUUGCUGACACUGGAGGCGCGACAGCGUGGGGAGCAAACAGG